UUGAACGCUGGCGGAAUGCUUUACACAUGCAAGUCGAGCGGCAGCGCGGGGGCAACCCUGGCGGCGAGCGGCGAACGGGUGAGUAAUGUAUCGGAACGUACCCUGUCGUGGGGGAUAACACAGCGAAAGCUGUGCUAAUACCGCAUACGACCUGAGGGUGAAAGCGGGGGAUCGCAAGACCUCGCGCGAUAGGAGCGGCCGAUAUCGGAUUAGCUUGUUGGUGAGGUAAAGGCUCACCAAGGCGACGAUCCGUAGCUGGUCUGAGAGGACGACCAGCCACACUGGAACUGAGACACGGUCCAGACUCCUACGGGAGGCAGCAGUGGGGAAUUUUGGACAAUGGGGGCAACCCUGAUCCAGCCAUUCCGCGUGAGUGAAGAAGGCCUUCGGGUUGUAAACUGCUUUUGUACGGAACGAAAAGGUCUGGGUUAAUACCCUGGGCUCAUGACGGUACCGUAAGAAUAAGCACCGGCUAACUACGU
rnacentral:rRNA from 1 species